GGAGAGGUGUCCGAGUGGCUGAAGGAGCACGCCUGGAAAGUGUGUAUACGUUAAUAGCGUAUCGAGGGUUCGAAUCCCUCCCUCUCCG
rfam:Marinobacter lutaoensis strain T5054 DSM17466_contig_5, whole genome shotgun sequence.